GUUGCGGUCUGAGGAGACAUUUGGAGAAUGAACAGCUCUCAGACUUUGUUACAGAGCACAGCCCUAUGGAGUGUGGGUCUGGGGGCUUGGCAUGGAGGAAGCCAGGGGGAGGAGACAGCUGGCAAAGGAUACCAGAGAACCCAGGCCCCGAAGCUCUGGUCUCCAUCGCCCAAGAACUUCACUCCACUCUUCCCUGAGUUAGACUUCACGAGGGCUGAAAGCAAGCUGUUAUGUGUCACUGGAACAUAUGAAAGGAAGCACGUAUUUUCCACACACAGUUGCUCCCAAUUUCAGGCCUCAGGAAUGCAAAGUUUCAGAAAGUAAACAGCAGCGAGACAGAACGUUCCAGAUGGCAGGGCUGAGUUGGUGGAACGGGCUCCCUCGGAAGCUGGACCGUUCCCCGCGGAACAGAAGCCGCCUGAGUCACUCUCUGCAGUGGCUGGGAAACUGCCGCUUCUCUUCUUCCUCUUCUCCAGACGUCUCCCCAGGAGUCCAACCAAAGCGGGGAAGGACCAUGAGACUCAAGUCCAGCCACCAGUAUUUCCGUCUCCUGGGGGCGGAAGUGAAAUAUGGGUGCCUGGGACAGGGCGGUUCUUCCUAUGGAGGACGUGAGAUUGAGAGCAGGUGGGCCACAGAGGGCUCCCGGCUGGAUUCCCACCAGGCAGACCCAUGAAUGACCAUCAGGGACAGACCAAGUUUCCAAAAUUCCAUCCGUCCAGGGGCCGCUCUGUUGGUGGGAACCGUUGACCCACUAACUUCUUCCAGCCCAUCUAGUUUUCCUGUGACCACAGCUGAGAUGGUUCCAAAGUCCUCGGAGUUCUGGUGGCUCCAGGGCACCCAAAGGGUGGGGUAAAUGAAGGAUAUUGCCUGCCGUAACAGUAAACAAGGGACGUUGCGGCCAUCAAGCCAUCACACUGCAGCUGCCCCGACUGUGAGCCCUGAGGGAACUCAGGCUAGAAACAGGAUGCCCCCCAUCUAGCAGUCACCUGCUGCAGCCACCCCCCACCCCUGACAGUGCACCCUGAGGGGACUCAGGAUGGGAAAACACAGGACGCUGGCCCCAGAGAGCUGAGGUGCACAUCAAAGGAAUGACUCCAGUGAGCCCAGACUCUUGCAUCUUCCCAUACACAGAAAAGCACUAAAUCCCUUAACUUGAAGUAUCUGGGUUUCUUUAAUCAACAGUAAUCUUUUGAUGUUCCAUCUACCUGGUCUUUGUUGCACAAACUCCUACGUAUCCUGGCGCCCCCCUCGCCUCUGCGGAGCAGCCUCUCACAGUUACCUGACAUGCUGUGUCUUGGGCUUGAGUCCUCAGGGCUGUCUGCUAAAUAAAACAUACCCUCAA